GACGAACGCUGGCGGCGUGCUUAACACAUGCAAGUCGAACGGAAAGGCCCUGCUUUUGUGGGGUGCUCGAGUGGCGAACGGGUGAGUAACACGUGAGUAACCUGUCCUUGACUUUGGGAUAACUUCAGGAAACUGGGGCUAAUACCGGAUAGGAGCUCCUGCUGCAUGGUGGGGGUUGGAAAGUUUCGGCGGUUGGGGAUGUACUCGCGGCUUAUCAGCUUGUUGGUUGGGUAGUGGCUUACCAAGGCUUUGACGGGUAGCAGGCCUGAGAGGGUGGCCGGCCACAUUGGGCCUGGGAUACGGCCCAGACUCCUACGGGAGGCAGCAGUGGAGAAUAUUGCACAAUGGGCGGAAGCCUGAUGCAGCAACGCCGCGUGCGGGAUGACGGGCUUCGGGUUGUAAACCGCUGUCGCCUGUGACGAAGCGUGAGUGACGGUAAUGGGUAAAGAAGCACCGGCUAACUACGUG
rnacentral:rRNA from 1 species